GCAGAUUCUACGUUUCUUUAAUAUUCUACUCUUAAACGUCAUUACUUUAGAUCAUCGAUUUAUGUCCAGUAUAUAUCAAAUGUACAUUCUGUAUAUAAGAGUGUCCGAUAUCUGUCUUAUAAGACUUACAAUUCCUGAAGUCAUCUCUGGCACCCAGGUCUCAAACUUCACUUCCACUCAAAAAGGUCCUCAGCAGCUCACCUAUUUGACAAAGAAUGAUUCUGAACCAUGCUACUUUUGAUGAAAGAUGUCACAAAAUUAACACUUAACUGUGUCUCACAUUCAAAACUUCCUCUAGGAGGGACAUCAGAAUGAUACCUUUUGCUCCAGUUGUUCUCAAAUUCACAUCUUCUGUCCAUGGGGUCUGUAAUGUCACCGUUUCAUAGAAGAACUUCAGUGUCUUUCCUUUUCCCUAUGGGAGCAUCAACACUCCACAUCUACUCACAAGUAUUUCACCUUUUUUCUCUGUAUAGUGGACAAGAGCACUUUCACCAAAGGCCCACAUUGGCCUGAAAUAUCUUCUUUUGCCCAAGGCGUACUCAUGCCUGCACUCUCUUGUGGCCAUCAUUAGCACUUCUUCUCUUGAUUUUGUGAGCCUGCUAUAUCCCAACUCUUUAGGAUUACAUACAAACUUAUUUCUGCUACAUGUAUUCUGAGACAUUCCUCCAUGGAAGAAAGGGGUGUUGAUCUUUUCUUGUCUGACAAAAGUCUUCAAAGCCCAAAGACAACUGCUGGAAUGAAAUGCAACCUAUAGGACUGAUGGAAGAAUUGCUACCUGGACUUUCAAAUGGCAUGAAAAUAUAUGGACAUUCUAAAUACUGAAAAAGAAUAGGAAGCUGAUCAAGCAAUACUGGAUCUUCCUCUGCUCCACGAGGUACUAACAUUUUCUCCAGAAUAAAAUGUUUUUUCUUAUAAUUUUAGAAGUAGCCAGAGAUUUUAAACUUCUAACAAACCGGUAUACAAUAUCUCCUUUGCACAUUUUCUCAGAAAUCCCGGUGAUGUCCACGGUGCAAUAACAACUUUUUCCCAUGAAGUCUGGUAUAUUACCUUUUUGAUGACUGACACAACAGUCCUACUUCUGUGCAAGUUCCCUACCUCCACCAUCUUACUGAGUAAGAUUUAGACUUAUACAAUUAAGAGGACUCCAGAAGGCCAAGGAAUUACGACACAUUCCCCAUAUGCCAAAUCCAUUUCCUCUCUAAAAUUUCUAAGUUUAUUGUCCUGAGAAACACUGUUCUGACGAAGAGAUCUCAGAGAAAUCUGGACUGAGUUCUCAAACAAGAGUCUAAAAGCAAGCACAAAUCAGACUACUAUCUUCAUUGUGUUCCCUUACACAGAGGUGUCCUUUCACAUGCAGAGGAAUGUGUAGAUGGACUUAUAUUUGAAUAAGAUACUGAACCUAAGACUACUGCAUUAGAGCCUCGUACAAGACUUCUAAGACUGUUGACUGCCUACCAUGGAUAUUCAGGCAUCUGCAGAUACUACCUUUUGAGGAAUGAAUCCUUCUCAGGAGACAAUAGACGGAACCUGCACUUCAAUGAUAAUUAAAUGGCACUUCAAGAUAUCAAAUCAAAAUAUCAAAAAAGGAUUACAAGAGCUGAAGACAUUAUCAACCCCAUCAGAAGAAUAAUGCGAAUGAACAAGAACCUUCUGGUACUAUAAAGAUACUCAAAGACUGUACAUGGACAGACCUAUUGCUCCAACUGCAUGUGUGGCAGAGGAUGGCAUUGUUGGACACCAAAGGAAGGAGAGGCCCUUGGUUCUCCAUAGACGGGAUGGUAGCGUUAUUGUCCUCUGCAAGGCUCCACCAAGCAGCCGACUGACACAGAAGCAGAGGCGCACGGACAAAUAUCGGACGGAGCACAGUGAUUCUCAGCAAAGAGCUGAAGGAAGGACUGAGAGAGGCAGAGGAGCACAAUGGUCUUCACGUGGGUUCACUAUACCCGUCGCCUGUCUGUGGAUCCUGUUUUCCCACACGGGCGUUUCCAGGACCUGGUGGGAAACGAUGAAUCUAGUUCUGCAGAGACUUGAUGUGCCAGGGGAUUGGGUGUACCCAGAGGGGUCCUCCACUCUCUCAGAGAAAAAAGGGGAGAGGCUAGUAGGAGGGACUGUAAAUGGUGGGACCCUGGAGGAGUGUGGUGACAGGGCAUCAUUCAGAAUGUUACCUGUUGAAUAGAUGCAACUAUUCUUGCAAGGGGGCACAGGCAUGACAUCACUGGGACGGGGUGUGACAUCAUGGGUGUUGGUCAUGACAUGGUGUGGGUGGGACAUGACAUUAUGAGAGUGGGACAUGACCUAAUGGAGGUGGGGGCAUGAUAUCAUAGGGAUAGGGGCAUGAUAUCAUGAUAUCAUGAAGCUUCAGGGAAAAUAGAUGAAACUAGAAAAAAAAAAGCCAUCCCAAGAGUGAACUGAGACCUAGAGACACAAACAUGGCGGGCAUUUACCUAUGAUUGGUAUCAGCUGUGAGAUAAAUGUUAUUCUAUCUACAAUCUACAACUGCAGAGAGGACACAGGAAAGGAGAAGGCCGGUGAGGGGGAAAGCAUCGACCUCUCUGAAAGGAAAACUGGAACAGAUUCUGUGGGUGAGUGCGGACGACUGAGGACAGGAGCGGAAUGUUGGUGGGGAAGAUGGAGGGAUAGCACGGUACAGAGAGAACGGGACAGAAUUAGGGGACAUACAGGUUAAUGCAGAAACUCGAUGGAUGCACUGGUUAAUUCAUGGAAUCUAAAGGGCAAACUCCAGAGGAUUUAAUUUGACUGAGAACGCAGAGUUCGAAACUUCAAUCCUUUGAAAUCAAGCAAGUGCGACCUCAGGGUUGGGACGGGGAACAUUCAGUAGAGCCUGUUUCUGAGAAGGUCAAAUGGAGAUCUCUGAACAACAGACCGAUGCUGGGACAGAGAUUAUAAAGGCUCAAGCAAACGAGGCCUUCGUGGUACCUUAAGCCUCCAUCGAUAUCAAUGCACCCGAAAACCCCUUCCCGCUCUCCAAGGUUUGUGUAGCCUUUGUUCAACCCGAGUAAAAUAUAUGCACACAGCGCGUCCCUGAAUACCUUCUAACAGAGUUGUGACACUGAAUAUCUUGGAGCAACCCCCAACUCACUUGCAGGCUGACCAAUGUUCUGUUGACCGACUAGUUCCUGGGGCCUCUUCACAC